rnacentral:rRNA from 1 species
UACGUAGGCAGCGAGCGUUGUUCGGAGUUACUGGGCGUAAAGGGUGUGUAGGCGGUUGUUUAAGUUUGGUGUGAAAUCUCCCGGCUCAACUGGGAGGGUGCGCCGAAUACUGAAUGACUUCGAGUGCGGGAGAGGAGAGUGGAAUUCCUGGUGUAGCGGUGAAAUGCGUAGAUAUCAGGAGGAACACCUGUGGUGUAGACAGCUUGCUGGACCAUUUCUGACGCUGAGACACGAAAGCGUGGGUAGCAAACAGG